CUGGGUGAUUAAUAAACUAAUUGACACGGGGGACACUUGUCACUGGCGAAGCAGCUCCCUAGCCAAAGCGAGGAGCAACUACAUAGCGUCUCCCGGGGAGCUGGGAAGUGACAGUCUACACCCGCUUCCGGGCUCCCCGUGACAUAGGCCAGCCGGGCCUCCAUUUACACCUCAAAGCAAAGUCACAGAGGGAUCCGCCCCUUUCCUGGCUGCCUACACAGAAAGCAGCCAUGGGAGACUUGCCGAGGACUUUGUCCACCAAGUGAUGAAAGCAUGCAAAUGCCUCCGAAUCAAAGAUGAGGAAAACAAAAGCUCAGAAACUAUCUUGGAGUCAGCAAGUAAGAAGGAGCUUAGAAAGGCUUAACAUUUUCCAUGCUUCUGCCUGGCUUCAGAGCCCAUGCACUCUGCCUUACCACGGCAGGUGAAAGAUGGCCCCAAAUUCUUAGGUACAUCUCCUGCCAAAAGACCCCUCCUAUGGGUUCUGUGACUACUUCAAUGAAAAGAAUAGGGCAGAAGAGAUGAUGAGAACUUAACAUCUGGCAGUGUCCAUUUCCUGUCUUUUGAAACUUUCUGUUAAAGGCCUGAGCCACGUAUGAAGUGUGAAUCUUCACACCAUGCAAGAGAAGCCACAUGUUAUUGCUCUGGUCAACAAUCCCAGCUGACCCAACCAGAUAGUGUAUCAGGCAUAUGAGUAAAGCAUUCUUAGAUUCUUCAGUCCAGCCCUUCACCAGCAGAACACCAUUCAGCAACCCUUGUCGGCAUCAUGUGGGACAGAAGAACCACCCAGCUGAGCCUUAUCCAAAUUCCUGACCACAAAAUCAUAAGCCCUGAGAGAGCAAGACCAGCCCCUUCUUUUCUUCCACCUCCUCAUCUACUCAACAUGUAUCUUCAUUCUCAAGACGAUGAGGAUGAAGACCUUUAUGAUGCUCCACUCCCAGUUAAUAAAUAGUAAGCAUAUUUUCUCUUUCUUCUGAUUUUCUUUUCUCUAGUUUAUUUUAUUGUAAGAAUGCAGUAUAUAAUAUAUGUAACAUACAAAAUAUGUGUUAAUCAAUUAUUUAUGCUAUCAGUAAGGCUUCUGGUCAAUAGGGGGUUUUUAGUAAAGUUUUUGAGCAGUCAUAAUUACACAUGGAUUUUCAGCUAUAGAGAGGGUCAGUACCCCUAAUCCCCACGUUGUUCAAGAGUUAACUGUACAUAGUUUUACUCCUGUUAGGAAUAAUGCUCAAAA
rnacentral:lncRNA from 1 species